AUGAUGAAGACCCCAAAGAACACUGCAAUGCAAACGCAGCCAGAACAAAGGCAGGAAAAAGUCAGUGGCUGCCGUACUUCUUGCUGCACCUUUAGGCUUUUUAUCUGCACAUGUAAAGUUGCUGAAGCUGCUGGUCCCAGCAUUUUCCCUACGGUUAAAGCUAAAUUUAACUCUUCGUGGAAGGCUAAAGAUUUGUUGCAUCAAAAACUCUUCCCAUGGCACAUCUUUUGGUUUCAUGUUGAAAUGAAGAAACAGAAGAGAUUACCAUGGGGUAACGGAAUUACAGAGAGAGAGAGAAGGAAGAGACUGAGAGAUGGUGAUGCAUGUAUUAUCACUUACCCAGUUUGGCCAGCGUCCAGAGGG
rnacentral:misc_RNA from 1 species